GACACCUCCAUGCUCCUGCCUUGAUGAUAAUGGACUGAACCUCUGAACCUAUCUUUGCUUAAAGCUGAGCUUGUAUCAGUACCUUGAAGAUGAACUUGGAGUUACUGGGCUCCCUUUACGUGUGCCCCCGGGCUCCAGGAUGAUGGAAUCUCCUUUCCCUGAUCCACACUGUUAUCCCCAGCUUUGACGGUUACCUUGGGCUGAGUGGUCAAGCCUGGCUCCUUAGGGCUGCUGGAGCUGAGGCUUCUGUUCUAAAACUCCACUUACGCCUUGGGUCAGCUUGGAGGCCCUUUGGAGCUGUUUGGACAUCUGCCAUUUGCCCUGAAAUACUGUCUCUUUUGCUCUGGGGUUCUUUUGAACUAUUUGAGUAUCUACUGUUUGUCUAACAGGCCUUGUCUUUGGACUCUUGAGAAAAUCUGAGGUCAUUUGAAUUAUUUGGGCAUCUGCUAAAAGGGCCAGGCUCGCCCCCCUGCCCCCCCGCCAGGGUUUCUGUGUGUAGCACAGGCUGUCCUAGAACUCUCUUUGUAGACCAAGCUGGCCUCGAACUCACAGAGAUCCAUCUGUCUCAGUCUCUGAAGUGCUGGGAUUAAAGGCAUGUGCCACCACUACCUGGCUGCACCUAGACUUUUAACAUACAAAAUUGGACAGUAAAAUUCUUUUGAUGUUUCUACCUCCUGUAAUUAGUACUUUUUGUUUGUGCAUAUGCUUCAGCCAUCACACUCUGUCUCCUUCUCAUGUAUUAGCUUAUCACCAGGCCAAGAAACCUGGAAAGCCAGGUUAGCAGAUACUCCAGUUCCCUCGAGAUUGAGUAUUCAAACACAAGAGAGGAAUUGGAACAGUUAUUUAGAAGAUACUUUGUUACACACUGUUGGCUCCUGACUAGAGCCACAGAGCUGAAGGCAGGAAGCUAAGUCCUUGCCUUAAACCUACAGUCGGCUGGAUUCCAGAAAUGUAAACCAUCAGCCAGCCCCUCCCCCCACCGCACCCACCACCGCUCUCCCAUGCCUCACAUAGUUACUUAACAAGGGCAAAGCUGCACUCUGGAGCAAAAACAAUCAUCCUGUAGAAGCUAGUGAUGCAGAUUAACAGUUUGUCAGCCGCCCUGCUGGACUGGAGCUAAGCUGAUAGACGGGCUAUCCCUUCACCAAGAUGGCUUAAUUCUCGUACUGGUUACUCCUAGCCUCAGUUCUUCCUCUGAUGAGCCUAAAGUUUGUUCCUUCCCAGUGGGUCAGUUAAAUGUAUCUCCCCUGCUCUCUCACUGUCAUUUGUCUCUGGUUGGCAUAUUGGGACAGGUAGGGGAGCCUAGCUGGUUGGUGCUGCUCACGCUGGGACUUCCUCUGCAAGAGCAACUCACACACACACACACACACACACACACACACA